UACGUAGGGGGCAAGCGUUGUCCGGAUUUAUUGGGCGUAAAGAGCUCGUAGGCGGUUCCGUAAGUCGUGAAGUCAAAUCUCUGGGCUCAACCCAGAAUCGCUUCCGAUACUGCGGUGACUGGAGUCCGGUAGGGGAGUGUGGAAUUCCUGGUGUAGCGGUGAAAUGCGCAGAUAUCAGGAGGAACGCCAACAGCGAAGGCAGCACUCUGGGCCGGUACUGACGCUGAGGAGCGAAAGCAUGGGGAGCGAACAGG
rnacentral:rRNA from 1 species